rnacentral:rRNA from 2 species
GACGAACCGUGCGAACGUUGUUCGGAUUCACUGGGCUUAAAGGGCGCGUAGGCGGGCAUCCAAGUCAGGGGUGAAAGCCCCCGGCCCAACCGGGGAAGUGCCUUUGAUACUGGAUGCCUCGAGCGGGAUAGGGGCAGCUGGAACUUUCGGUGGAGCGGUGAAAUGCGUAGAUAUCGGAAGGAACGCCGGUGGCGAAAGCGAGCUGCUGGAUCCCUCCUGACGCUGAGGCGCGAAAGCCAGGGUAGCGAACGGG